rnacentral:rRNA from 1 species
UACGAAGGGGGCUAGCGUUAGGCGGAAUCACUGGGCUUAAAGCGUGUGUAGGCGGAUCGUUAAGUGUCUUGUGAAAUCCCACGGCUCACCCGUGGAACUGCUGGGCAUACUGGCGAUCUUGGGCCAACUAGGGGCAACUGGAACAAGCGGUGGAGCGUUGAAAUGCGUAGAUAUCGUUUGGAACGCCGAUGGUGAAAACAGGUCGCUGGGGUUGUGCUGACGCUGAGACACGAAAGCCAGGGGAGCGAACGGG